rnacentral:rRNA from 1 species
CCCUGCCAUUUGUACACACCGCCCGUCGCACCUACCGAUUGAAUAGUCCGGUGAGGUCUUGGGAUCUUUGCGGGUGUCAUUCGUUUGGCGGCUGUGAGGAGAACUUGAACGAACCUUAUUAUUUAGAG